AGAGUUUGAUCAUGGCUCAGAACGAACGCUGGCGGCAUGCCUAACACAUGCAAGUCGAACGAGACCUUCGGGUCUAGUGGCGCACGGGUGCGUAACGCGUGGGAAUCUGCCCUUGGGUUCGGAAUAACAGUUAGAAAUGACUGCUAAUACCGGAUGAUGUCUUCGGACCAAAGAUUUAUCGCCCAAGGAUGAGCCCGCGUAAGAUUAGCUAGUUGGUGGGGUAAUGGCCCACCAAGGCGACGAUCUUUAGCUGGUCUGAGAGGAUGAUCAGCCACACUGGGACUGAGACACGGCCCAGACUCCUACGGGAGGCAGCAGUGGGGAAUAUUGGACAAUGGGCGAAAGCCUGAUCCAGCAAUGCCGCGUGAGUGAUGAAGGCCUUAGGGUUGUAAAGCUCUUUUACCAGGGAUGAUAAUGACAGUACCUGGAGAAUAAGCUCCGGCUAACUCCGUGCCAGCAGCCGCGGUAAUACGGAGGGAGCUAGCGUUGUUCGGAAUUACUGGGCGUAAAGCGUACGUAGGCGGUUAUUCAAGUCAGAGGUGAAAGCCCGGGGCUCAACCCCGGAACGGCCUUUGAAACUAGAUAGCUAGAGUCUUGGAGAGGUUAGUGGAAUUCCGAGUGUAGAGGUGAAAUUCGUAGAUAUUCGGAAGAACACCAGUGGCGAAGGCGACUAACUGGACAAGUACUGACGCUGAGGUACGAAAGCGUGGGGAGCAAACAGGAUUAGAUACCCUAGUAGUCC
rnacentral:rRNA from 1 species